UCGUCACACUAUCAUUAACUGAAUCCAUAGGUUAAUGAGGCGAACCGGGGGAACUGAAACAUCUAAGUACCCCGAGGAAAAGAAAUCAACCGAGAUUCCCCCAGUAGCGGCGAGCGAACGGGGAGGAGCCCAGAGCCUGAAUCAGCAUGUGUGUUAGUGGAAGCGUCUGGAAAGGCGCGCGAUACAGGGUGACAGCCCCGUACACAAAAGCGCAUGUGCUGUGAGCUCGAUGAGUAGGGCGGGACACGUGGUAUCCUGUCUGAAUAUGGGGGGACCAUCCUCCAAGGCUAAAUACUCCUGACUGACCGAUAGUGAACCAGUACCGUGAGGGAAAGGCGAAAAGAACCCCGGCGAGGGGAGUGAAAAAGAACCUGAAACCGUGUACGUACAAGCAGUGGGAGCCCCACCACUAAGCCAGUGGUGAACUCCACAUCCGCAUCCUUUGCUGAGGAUACGGUUAACGGAGCGAAAGCGACGUUCAACCGCAAAACAAGCAGAGGGGGCUUAGUGGUGGGGUGACUGCGUACCUUUUGUAUAAUGGGUCAGCGACUUAUAUUCUGUAGCAAGGUUAACCGWAUAGGGGAGCCGGAGGGAAACCGAGUCUUAAUUGGGCGUUAAGUUGCAGGGUAUAGACCCGAAACCCGGUGAUCUAGCCAUGGGCAGGUUGAAGGUUGGGUAACACUAACUGGAGGACCGAACCGACUAAUGUUGAAAAAUUAGCGGAUGACCUGUGGCUGGGGGUGAAAGGCCAAUCAAACCGGGAGAUAGCUGGUUCUCCCCGAAAGCUAUUUAGGUAGCGCCUCGUGAAUUCAUCUCCGGGGGUAGAGCACUGUUUCGGCUAGGGGGCCAUCCCGGCUU
rnacentral:rRNA from 1 species